UUGUAAGAUUCUCACGUGAGGAAAUGAGCUUUGCCAACGCCUCUGCAAAGGAAAACAUUUAGCUACUUGCACAGUUUUUCAGGGCUAGGCUCAAUAUCACCUCCUCCAGGAAGUCUACCUGAACUUCAGGACUGGAUCAGCCAUCCUUUGUGUGCUACCCACUCCAGUUCAUAUAUACCACAAUAUAAUAACAUGAAGCAAGCUUCUUUACUCAAUAGGAGCAAAAUAUCAGAUAUGGUGUGAGAUCAACACAUGUGCCCUCAACAGCCAGUGCAGAUGAGACUGAAGACUGUGAAAAGAACACCCGACAAUGACAAAAUUCAACGAAAUCUUUGCAGAGUGGACUGGUAUCUUCCCUGAUUUGGUGGCACAAAUCCCCACAAAAGUGGAAUAACUUUUCACCAGCACAGAGAUGUUGAAAAAGAGAUUCUGUUCAAUACACUUUGUGCUGUGAAGUGAAUAAAGAAAAAGACUAACUGAAUGAAAUCAAAUACAACAAGAUGAUGUUUCAGGAAUGGCUAUUCACCCUAUUUAUGGAAUUGGACGUUAAAAAAAGGAAAACAUCCCUGAAAUCAAACAGUACAAUCUAGUUGGAGAAGAGAACCAUACACAUCAAA